rnacentral:rRNA from 1 species
UACAGAGGUCUCAAGCGUUGUUCGGAUUCAUUGGGCGUAAAGGGUGCGUAGGCGGCGCGGUAAGUCGGGCGUGAAAGCCCCGGGCUCAGCCCGGGAAGUGCGCUCGAAACUGCGCAGCUCGAGUGCCGGAGGGGAGAGUGGAAUUCCUGGUGUAGCGGUGAAAUGCGUAGAUAUCAGGAGGAAUACCGGUGGCGAAAGCGACUCUCUGGACGGCAACUGACGCUGAGGCACGAAAGCGUGGGGAGCAAACAGG